GUGCCGGACUUGCCGGGGUCCUGCUGGAGGAGAUCGGGAUCCGUCACCUCCGAGCUCGGCACAGGGCAUCUGGCUGCAGCCGACUGCUGUUCCUGACCCCGGCAUCCACUGACGGAUGCUGUCAUCCCGGGACAGGGACGUCCGACCCACUGGGGAAAUGGACGCACCAGCUGCUGUUUUCCAGCAGCAGGCAUUGAGCUAAGCCAGUCCUGAGUUUGGCUUUGUCUGCAGGGUGAGGCCGGGAGGGAUUUUUCAGAUUUUCUUCAUCAGUGCAAGGAAAAGGGAAACAUAAGGGCAAGGCAAGGGAAGAAAAAGUCAAGGCAAGAAAAAGUCAAGGCAAGGCAAGGGAAGAAAAAGUCAAGGCAAGAAAAAGUCAAGGCAAGGCAAGGGAAGAAAAAGUCAAGGUAAGAAAAAGGCAAGGCAAGGCAAGGAGAAGGCAAGGCAAGGCAAAAGAAAAGAGGGCAAGGCAAGACAAGAGAAAGGCAAGGAAAGGCAAGGAAAAAGAAAAAGCAGGCAGAGGCAAGAAAAGUCAGGAAAAUAAUAGGCAAGGCAAGGCAGGGCAAGAGAAGAGAGGAGAGGAGAAAGAAAGAGAAAGAAGGAAGGAAAGAAAGAAAGAAAAAAGAAAAUAAGGCAAAAAAGGACAAAAGAAAACUAAUAAGGAGCACUGUAGUUCAUACUUCACUGCUUGUCUCAAGCUGCAGUGGAUUUAAAGUGCAACCUCAAACAGCAUGAGUGUUGGCAAUGCUCUAUCUAAGCCGAAGCAUGACAAUGACAACAUAACAUGAAUAAAAAAUGUGAGUCUGGAGUAAUUGAGAGGGGAGGGAGCUUUUUGUAAGCAUUUGUUUGCAGAUAGUUUUAUGAUGAUUCAAUACAGUUGAUGUAAAAUCUAGCUGAGUUGAACUGGGUGUCAGCCAGCCCGGUGUGGCUACUAAAAUUUAGCUGAAAAUGAUAUUUUAUACCAAUUUAUUUAGGUGAGGAGAGGGGUGUUGCCUUUUGGGGCGGCAUCCCCCCUGCCAGCCCAGCCGCGAGGGCUGGUUCUGCUCCCCAAGGGCCCCCGCCACAAGCCAGUACAGGCGGUUGGCAGGCUGGUGGUGAACCACGUCAGAGAACUGAUCCAGGGGGAAAAGAGGAAAAGGGAGAGAGGGGUGUUUUCUUUUCUUUUCCCAGGCUGUUUUUCCUGCCCUCGGCCAGCUACUAAGCGAGAGACCAGUGGGGCCUCCCAGAAGCCCUCCAGCAAACCUGCAGCAACGUGACUUAGUAUUUCCCCUGCUGCCAAGAGCAUACUUGGUGAAUCCCUGGCAUUGCUCCAUCAGUGUAGAAGGAAUAGGGCUUCCUUGUAUUUGAAGAGGGGUUUUGUCUGCCUGCAUUAACUCCAGCAGCCUUAGGAUGGGAAGGCUGGCUUAGCACAGCUGGCUGCGCUUUCAAGGCUCAAACCGAAGUGCUACACUUUCCUUUCAGCCAUGGGUGCAGAGGCUUCGACGCUGUGAAGAGUACAACUUUGACACGCAGCGUGCAGAAAGGCAAAACACAGCCCAGCUCCAAUUGGUUUAAUCCACCGCGAGGGAUGCUCCAAAUUCCUCCCAAAAAACGUCAUUUUUGAGGCUUCGAUAGGAAAGAUGCAGAGGUUCUGUGGAAGGCGACAGGGCCAGCUUUCUGCAGGAGGGAUGGGUGGUUUUGCAGCGUGUUCCUGGCAGAAGGAGAGAGGUGUUUGCAUCCAAGCUCUGAAGCCAUUACAGGAAAUUUUGCAAGGAAAAACGGAAAGGACUGAUCGCUGCCCAAGAUGUGUCAGAUUUUGGGAUGGAAGAGGAGUUGGUCAGCCAACCUGUACGUCAGAGUGUUUUGCAGUUGGAUCUGUUCCCUGGCCUGGACAGCUCAUGAGAUUUUAUGGAAGCCUAGUGCCAGCACGAGGAAGAGGAUGAGCAUGGACACCCUUAUCGGUGCCAAGGUGGACUUUUAAGUCAAUUACGUGAAUAUUUCUUGAGUCUUUCCAAAGACACUGAAAUUACUGCCCAAGUGCUAUAUGCCCUUGCCUGUUCUCCAAGAAUGGGGAUUGAAACAGUUACUCCCUCUGCCACUAUUGAACACCUUUUUCCAAAGGCUCCCUUGGGAAUGGGCCGCAGACCGAGUGAUGCUUUCUGGAAAGCUGCAUGGGUCAUAGCUGACUGCUACUGCUUUGGGGUGGAAAUGCUGUGGCGAUGCCUCUUCUAUGUUGCCUGCACU